AGCUUUGCACAGUGGUAGUAUCAUAGCCAAUGAGGUUUAUCAGAGGUGUGAUUAUUGCUAAUUGAAAAAGAAAUGUUAGCAAUCAAAAACACUGUAACUGAAGUGCAAAAUGACUGAUGGGCUUGUUAGC
rnacentral:snRNA from 1 species